AACGAACGCUGGCGGCAGGCCUAACACAUGCAAGUCGAUCGCAUCCUUCGGGGUGAGUGGCGCACGGGUGAGUAACACGUGGGAAUGUACCCUUUGGUUCGGAAUAACGUUUGGAAACGAACGCUAAUACCGGAUGAGCCCUACGGGGGAAAGAUUUAUCGCCAAAGGAGCAGCCCGCGUCUGAUUAGCUAGUUGGUGGGGUAAAGGCCUACCAAGGCGACGAUCAGUAGCUGGUCUGAGAGGAUGAUCAGCCACACUGGGACUGAGACACGGCCCAGACUCCUACGGGAGGCAGCAGUGGGGAAUAUUGGACAAUGGGCGCAAGCCUGAUCCAGCCAUGCCGCGUGAGUGAUGAAGGCCUUCGGGUUGUAAAGCUCUUUCGCACGCGACGAUGAUGACGGUAGCGUGAGAAGAAGCCCCGGCUAACUUCGUGCCAGCAGCCGCCGUAA
rnacentral:rRNA from 1 species